CAGUAGCCGCGGGAAUACAGAGGGUGCGAGCGUUAAUCGGAUUUACUGGGCGUAAAGCGUGCGUAGGUGGCCAAUUAAGUCAAAUGUGAAAUCCCCGAGCUUAACUUGGGAAUUGCAUUCGAUACUGGUUGGCUAGAGUAUAGGAGAGGAUGGUGGAAUUCCAGGUGUAGCGGUGAAAUGCGUAGAGAUCUGGAGGAAUACCGAUGGCGAAGGCAGCCAUCUGGCCUAAUACUGACGCUGAGGUACGAAAGCAUGGGGAGCAAACAGGAUUAGAUACCCGUGUAGUCCCUGUCUCUUAUAC
rnacentral:rRNA from 1 species